rnacentral:tRNA from 1 species
GGGGCUGGGGCUCAGUGGUAGAGUGCUUGCUUAGUGUGCAUGAGGCACUGGGUUCAAUUGUCAGCACCA